CUAGCUUCCACUCUGCUACUGCUCCUAGCUAGCUCCGAGCUGCUCCUAGCUAGCUCCGAGCUGCUCCUAGCUAGCUCCUAGCAGUACCUGCGCCAGAUUUGUGCCUUUGGGACUCUCAUAGAGGGGGUGUGUCUGUAGCACCGGACUUCACAUCUCACACUCCUCUGUGGUGUAGUGAGCAGUCACGUAGCUUUCUGUUACCCUGGAGGUCCACUCCUCUGUGGUGUAGUGAGCAGUCACGUAGCUUUCUGUUACCCUGGAGGUCCACUCCUCUGUGGUGUAGUGAGCAGUCACGUAGCUUUCUGUUACCCUGGAGGUCCACUCCUCUGUGGUGUAGUGAGCAGUCACGUAGCUUUCUGUUACCCUGGAGGUCCACUCCUCUGGUGUAGUGAGCAGUCACAGUCACGUAGCUUUCUGUUACCCUGGAGGUCCACUCCUCUGUGGUGUAGUGAGCAGUCACAGUCACGUAGCUUUCUGUUACCCUGGAGGUCCACCUGUCUGUGUUGAGGGCAACAGAGGAUGCCUUGGAUAAUUUGUCGACAAUUUUGGGGAUUUCAUAGCGUGGCUCAAGCACUUUCACCAUAUUUUUAAACCCUUUGUUUUCCACAACAGAGUAUGGCCUCAUGUCUGCAGUGAUAAACAUCCCAAUAGAUUUGGUGAUGGCUUCAGCCCGGUCUGAUUCUGCAGCAAAGGGCUUAAAUGUCGCGGUGAGAAGUUGUUGUCUCUUGGCUGAGUUGGCUCCCGUCACUGACACACCAGGGUGACGACGCUUUAAAUGAGUGUCCAUGCUCCAUGUAUUUCCAUGAUCAUACGGCUUUCAUGUGGCACAAUGGCUACACACCGUAAUGGUGUUGUCCACCACCCUUCUUCCAUCAUCAUAUUUGACAGGGAAGACAAAAUGCUCCCAUACAUGAGACUUAAAUGAAGCGGGAGGCUUUUCCAGUUCUUCAGCUCUUUUUUCUUCUUUGCAACGCGAGCAUCCAGGAUUGAUUCGUUGGGAUUCAACAUGCCUCGUUCACGUGAACAGUACACACAAGUGCUUUAAAAAAAGAAUAAAACCAACUUUCAGGCUUCAGAGUAAAACACAGCACGCAUCUGUUUUGUCUUUAUCUUUUCACUUUCGACUCAGCAUCGAGAUGUAGGGAAUUAUUACUUUAAAAAGUAACAGC
rnacentral:lncRNA from 1 species